UCAGUGUCAAUGUGAAACAAAAAGAACAAGGUGUACUUGCGGCAGCUUAGAGACUAACAAAUUUAUUUGAGCUUAAGUUUUCAUGGGCUAAAGCCCACUUCCUCAGAUGCAUGCAGUGGAAAAUACAAUAUAAAAAUACAUACAGAGAACAUGAAACAAUGGGUUUUAUCAUA